AGGAGAUGCACAUGCCUUCUCACACCCUUUCUCCUGUCUCCAGGGCAAGCAGCGACCUAGGGGCCGGAGCAGAGAGUGGACCCCCAAGGCGCACGCGUCUGCCCGUGAUCCAGGCUGGGCGAGGCUGGCAGUAGGUUGUGGCGUAAAGAUUGUGGUGUGAAAAGAGGGUGCCAGCUUCUCUUUCUCUCUCCCUCCUUCGUGGAAGAAAUAAGUAAUGCAAUUUGAAAAGAGAAAGAGCCUGAGUGCCUGAGUCACCACGUGGAGGUCAGUCCUGAGCUACCAGGAUGUACCCCGGAGAUGUCAGGAUGAUUUCUCUCACCAGGUGCAGAGUUAUUAGGAAACACUGGAGACAGGGAGGGGGAGUACCAUCUCCUCCCUGGCUCUGAGCUUGGCCUCAGAGGUGCCAGUAGCAUUUGGGGCUUGGGGUUUGCAGCUGUUGCAUUCCACGAUGGCUCUGGUGGCAUUACAAUCACGGGUGACACUCAGAGCGUUCUGAGUGAAUCUCCGAGCAGCUGACCCUAGGGCACAUGUGCUCACCAGAGACAGAGAAAGACGGA